UUGGAAGAGUGGCGAACGGGUGAGGAACACGUAAGAAUCUGCCCCUCGGUCGGGGACAACUCUUGGAAACGAGAGCUAAUACCCGAUACGCUGUGGAGUGAAAGAAUUUCGCCGAGGGAUGAUCUUGCGUCUGAUUAGCUAGUUGGUGCGGUAAUGGCGCACCAAGGCGACGAUCAGUAGCUGGUCUGAGAGGAUGAACAGCCACAUUGGAACUGAGACACGGUCCAAACUCC
rnacentral:rRNA from 1 species